AGCCCGGUAUCCCAACCGGUAGAGGAAGCGGAUUCAAAACCCGUCAACGUGUGGGUUCGACUCCCACCCGGGCUA
rnacentral:tRNA from 1 species